rnacentral:rRNA from 1 species
CCUACGGGAGGCAGCCGUGGGGGAUAUUGCACAAUGGGGGAAACCCUGAUGCAGCAACGCCGCGUGAGUGAAGAAGGAUUUCGGUAUGUAAAGCUCUUUUCGCAGGGAAGAAAAUGACAGUACCUGACCAAGAAGACCCGGCUAACUACGUGCCAGCAGCAGCGGUAAUAAGUAGGGGGCGAGCGUUAGCCGGAUUUACUGGGUGUAAAGGGAGCGUAGGCGGUUAUGUAAGUCUGGUGUGAAAGCCCGGGGCCCAACCCCGGGACUGCUUUGGAAACUGUGUAACUUGAGUACAGGAGGGGCAGGCGGAAUUCCUGGUGUAGCGGUGAAAUGCGUAGAUAUCAGGAGGAACACCAGCGGCGAAGGCGGCCUGCUGGACUGAAACUGACGUUGAGGCUCGAAAGCGUGGGGAGCAAACAGGAUUAGAUACCCCUGUAGUC